GGAAGAGUAGCAAUACUCGAAACCGGCGCACGGGUGAGUAACGCGUAUGCAACCUACCUAAAACAGGGGGAUAGCUCCCGGAAACGGGAAUUAACACCGCAUAAGACCACGGUAUCGCAUGAUACAGUGUUAAAAAUUACGAUGGUUUUAGAUGGGCAUGCGUGACAUUAGAUAGUUGGUGGGGUAACGGCUCACCAAGUCGACGAUGUCUAGGGGUUCUGAGAGGAAGGUCCCCCACACUGGUACUGAGACACGGACCAGACUCCUACGGGAGGCAGCAGUGAGGAAUAUUGGUCAAUGGACGCAAGUCUGAACCAGCCAUGUCGCGUGCAGGAUGACUGCCCUAUGGGUUGUAAACUGCUUUUGUACGGGAAGAAAACUAUCUACGUGUAGAUAAUUGCCGGUACCGUACGAAUAAGGAUCGGCUAACUCCGUGCCAGCAGCCGCGGUAAUACGGGGGAUCCGAGCGUUAUCCGGAUUUAUUGGGUUUAAAGGGUGCGUAGGCGGAAGAUUAAGUCAGUGGUGAAAGUUUGCAGCUUAACUGUAAAAUUGCCAUUGAUACUGGUUUUCUUGAGUACAGCUGAGGUAGGCGGAAUGCGGUGUGUAGCGG
rnacentral:rRNA from 1 species